UCAUUCGAAUAAAAAGUGUUUUUUGGCAUAAUGUAAAAAAUGAAAUAAUUCGGUGGGAUUCAAACUACGCGAUCACCGUCGCUUUGCGUAUUUUGCCAACCUUACCAGGUAUUCCGGGAUAAUCUUAGAGCCAUCGUUGAUGAACUGACCGUUUUCAUCAUACUUGAGUACCGAUAAAUUGCCAUCAGUUAUCUCCAGCUGUUUAAUGGCCUCUUCUACUAGAUCCACAGACUCUAAAGUGAUGGAUUUUUCAAGCAAUUUAUGGCCAUCAGUUAUUACAAACUAAAAAGAUAUAAAUGCAAAACAGAAAUAGUUUUGACGUCAAAUUACGUUUAUUUUUGCUAUCUACUUUUGCACAAUGAAAUUCUAGGUAUGUAUUCGCCAUCUACUACGACACUUGAUUUUCGACAAAAAUUUGCGUAGAUAUAAAUAUUUCCAAAACACUAAACCAACGAAAAAGUUUACCUUUACAUUGUCACCUGCGAAAGUUUCUGCAGUUAAAUUUCCGCUUUCGUCAUACUCUCUAUAGUCUAUGUUGCUAGAGCUGCUAUAAAAAGCCGUUAGAUUCUUGAGGUUGUUUUCAUGCCAAAAUGGGUACUGUAAAAAUAUCGCUUUUAAUAAAAGCUGAACCAAACGGAUACACCAGCACACCUUCGGCCAAUGAAGUUCAAUCGUUCUGAUUUCAACGAGUUUUCCAUUUUCCGCAUAAACAUUUUCACUUCCUAUUAGAGUAAAGUUGCGAAACUCUUCAAUUUCUAUCUAAAGAUGUGACAAAGCUUGAGUUAAGUAUUCGAAAAAUUACCGUGAUCAAGACGAGGACUUAGUAAUGAAAAAAAAUCCGCCAAUGAGUCCGCAAGGACUAGACUGCUCAUUAGAAGGGCGUAUAAGCACUUAUGCAUAAACAUCAUGAACUUGCUGAGAAUGAGAAUGAGAAUGAGAAUGCUCUUGGCUCAGUACUGGACGUUUGUAAAUGCUACUAUUGAUAAAGGCUACUCACAGAUCA